rnacentral:rRNA from 1 species
GACGAACGCUGGCGGCGUGCUUAACACAUGCAAGUCGAACGGAAAGGCCUCUUUCGGGGGGUACUCGAGUGGCGAACGGGUGAGUAACACGUGAGUAACCUGCCCUUGACUUUGGGAUAACUUCAGGAAACUGGGGCUAAUACCGGAUAGGAGCUCCUGCUGCAUGGUGGGGGUUGGAAAGUUUCGGCGGUUGGGGAUGGACUCGCGGCUUAUCAGCUUGUUGGUGGGGUAGUGGCUUACCAAGGCUUUGACGGGUAGCCGGCCUGAGAGGGUGACCGGCCACAUUGGGACUGAGAUACGGCCCAGACUCCUACGGGAGGCAGCAGGGGGGAAUAUUGCACAAUGGGUGGAAGCCUGAUGCAGCAACGCCGUGUGCGGGAGGACGGACUUCGGGUUGUAAACCGCGUUCGCUCAUGACGAAGCUUUGUGUGACGGUAGUGGGUAAAGAAGCACCGGCUAACUACGUG